GUGUUACUAGUGUUUAGUGAGAGGUGUUACUAGUGUUUAGUGAGAGGUGUUACUAGUGGUUAGUGAGAGGUGUUACUAGUGAUUAGUGGUUAGUGAGAGGUGUUACUCGUGUUUAGUGAGAGGUGUUACUAGUGUUUAGUGGUUAGUGAGAGGUGUUACUAGUGUUUAGUGUUUAGUGAGAGGUGUUACUAGUGUUUAGUGGUUAGUGAGAGGUGUUACUAGUGUUUAGUGAGAGG